GGAAGGGGGAGUCUUUCCUGGGGCUGCUGUCUGUGUCCAGGAGGGGCGAUUGGUAGAGAAAGCCAUGAGGGUAAAUUAGGUAGGAGUCAUAGCUGGAACAGUUGGGGGAGGUGAAGACAAUGUCCACAGAGAACUUAUUCCCCUCUCACUCCAGAAGGAGAUGUUACCCUAAGGAAGGGUUGGAAUAACACGAGGAUUCCCAAAUUCAUGGGCACUGAAACAUCUCCUGUUCCAGGAUAGGAAAGGAACCCUCCAGGUCAAGGAUGGGUCCCAUGAAUUGAAGUCAAACACUGAAGAACUUGGGGACCAUGACUUCCCUCCAGGACUGGGGAUCUGUAAGGUGCUGCUUUGCACCCAGCCCACGACAGACCCACCACCACAUCCAGAGUCACUUUUCAGAGGCAUGGGGAUAAGCUGCUGGGCUGUCCAUGCCGAGGCCUCGCUGGGCCAUUCCUCCUUCGGGGAGAGACAUCAGACGGCGACAGCAAGUAGGAGCCACUUGGUUUUCUCUGGCAAUAAAUUGGGCUGGUAAUAGAU